rnacentral:rRNA from 1 species
GAUGAACGCUGGCGGCGUGCCUAAUACAUGCAAGUCGAGCGAACAGACGAGGAGCUUGCUCCUCUGACGUUAGCGGCGGACGGGUGAGUAACACGUGGAUAACCUACCUAUAAGACUGGGAUAACUUCGGGAAACCGGAGCUAAUACCGGAUAAUAUAUUGAACCGCAUGGUUCAAUAGUGAAAGACGGUUUUGCUGUCACUUAUAGAUGGAUCCGCGCCGCAUUAGCUAGUUGGUAAGGUAACGGCUUACCAAGGCAACGAUGCGUAGCCGACCUGAGAGGGUGAUCGGCCACACUGGAACUGAGACACGGCCCAGACUCCUACGGGAGGCAGCAGUAGGGAAUCUUCCGCAAUGGGCGAAAGCUUGACGGAGCAACGCCGCGGGAGUGAUGAAGGUCUUCGGAUCGUAAAACUCUGUUAUUAGGGAAGAACAAAUGUGUAAGUAACUAUGCACGUCUUGACGGUACCUAAUCAGAAAGCCACGGCUAACUACGUG